rnacentral:rRNA from 1 species
CCUACGGGAGGCAGCAGUGGGGAAUAUUGCACAAUGGGCGCAAGCCUGAUGCAGCGACGCCGCGUGCGGGAUGACGGCCUUCGGGUUGUAAACCGCUUUUGAUCGGGAGCAAGCCUUCGGGUGAGUGUACCUUUCGAAUAAGCACCGGCUAACUACGUGCCAGCAGCCGCGGUAAUACGUAGGGUGCAAGCGUUAUCCGGAAUUAUUGGGCGUAAAGGGCUCGUAGGCGGUUCGUCGCGUCCGGUGUGAAAGUCCAUCGCUUAACGGUGGAUCUGCGCCGGGUACGGGCGGGCUGGAGUGCGGUAGGGGAGACUGGAAUUCCCGGUGUAACGGUGGAAUGUGUAGAUAUCGGGAAGAACACCAAUGGCGAAGGCAGGUCUCUGGGCCGUUACUGACGCUGAGGAGCGAAAGCGUGGGGAGCGAACAGGAUUAGAUACCCUGGUAGUCCACGCCGUAAACGGUGGAUGCUGGAUGUGGGGCCCGUUCCACGGGUUCCGUGUCGGAGCUAACGCGUUAAGCAUCCCGCCUGGGGAGUACGGCCGCAAGGCUAAAACUCAAAGAAAUUGACGGGGGCCCGCACAAGCGGCGGAGCAUGCGGAUUAAUUCGAUGCAACGCGAAGAACCUUACCUGGGCUUGACAUGUUCCCGACCGCGGCAGAGAUGUCGUUUCCCUUCGGGGCGGGUUCACAGGUGGUGCAUGGUCGUCGUCAGCUCGUGUCGUGAGAUGUUGGGUUAAGUCCCGCAACGAGCGCAACCCU